rnacentral:misc_RNA from 1 species
GCAAACUUGGUCAUUUAGAGGAAGUAAAAGUCGUAACAAGGUUUCCGUAGGUGAACCUGCGGAAGGAUCAUUCACAAUUUACAAGUGCUCCUACGCUCCAACUCUUCUACAGGGAAGGAGACAAGGACACUGUGGACAUUCAAAUCCAUUCCCACCUUGUGUGUAUCGUAAUAAGCAACCCAUUUCACUUAAUAAUAAUUUUAUCCGCAAGACCGUCUGAAUGCAUCUCGUUUUUUUAGAAAAAAAAAAAUGAAAUACAACUUUCAACAACGGAUCUCUUGGCUCUCGCAUCGAUGAAGAACGCAGC